GCGCUUUUGUACACCGUAGGGAGGUGUACGAAUAAGGGCUGGGCAAGACCGGUGCCAGCCGCCGCGGUAAUACCGGCAGCCCGAGUGAUGGCCGAUCUUAUUGGGCCUAAAGCGUCCGUAGCUGGCCGCACAAGUCCAUCGGAAAAUCCACCCGCCCAACGGGUGGGCGUCCGGUGGAAACUGUGUGGCUUGGGACCGGAAGGCGCGACGGGUACGUCCGGGGUAGGAGUGAAAUCCCGUAAUCCUGGACGGACCGCCGAUGGCGAAAGCACGUCGCGAGGACGGAUCCGACAGUGAGGGACGAAAGCCAGGGUCUCGAACCGGAUUAGAUACCCGGGUAGUCCUGGCCGUAAACAAUGUCUGUUAGGUGUGGCUCCCACUACGAGUGGGUGCUGUGCCGUAGGGAAGCCGCUAAACAGACCGCCUGGGAAGUACGUCCGCAAGGAUGAAACUU
rnacentral:rRNA from 1 species